GUGAGAACACAUAGUUGUAUUACACAGUUCCUCUCUCACAGUGUUUAUUCAUCAUCUCAAUUUUCUUGCAUUAUUAUUUCUUCUUCAGCUUUUGAUUUCGCUAAUUACUUUCUAUUGGCCACUGCAGAUUUGUGGCAACUUUUUAUAUGUCAUUGUAAAUGGAGGAGUUCUUAUUAACCUAAAGCUGCUUGACAUCUCCUCUCCUAGAAAUUCCGCCCGACCUUCUUCCAUUCUUAGAAGACAACAUUUGUGGCAGGGGCUCAACUGGAGCAAUGUCUUAUUGUCGAGUCGCGGAGAAGAAGCCUGCAAGAUUAUUGCGCUUCGAUUACUUUAUAAAGCCAAGACAUUUAUCUAUUUUGUGGUUCAAGGCUUCCUCAAGAAGACAGAAUGAUAUAUAAAAUAAAAUAAAAAGAGGCUUACAAGUGUGAAACAACCUAAAAAGGUAACUUCGUUUCUCACAAGACAAGGAGAAAUUGUUGACACGGAAGGAUAGCAAACUACACUAUUCUUGGUUGACUUGCUUAGUGGAUUGGUAAAAUUAGUUAUCGGGAAACUCGCGAGAACAAGUGCCUCUUUGUUAUUUUUUGGUCAUUUUUGUACUUGAUUAUUGUAGGAACUAUCAAAUGAUAACUUUAUACAUCAAGACAAGAUAUAGAUUUAAGUGUAAAAACUUGUUCCAAAUCGUAAACUUGCAUUUUCACAGUUAUUGAUCCUUGGAACGAUGCAUCUUUUGAACUACA